UGGCGGACGGGUGAGUAAUGUCUGGGAAACUGCCCGAUGGAGGGGGAUAACUACUGGAAACGGUAGCUAAUACCGCAUAACGUCGCAAGACCAAAGAGGGGACCUUCGGGCCUCUUGCCAUCGGAUGUGCCCAGAUGGGGUUAGCUAGUAGGUGGGGUAACGGCUCACCUAGGCGACGAUCCCUAGCUGGUCUGAGAGGAUGACCAGCCACACUGGAACUGAGACACGGUCCAG
rnacentral:rRNA from 1 species